rnacentral:rRNA from 1 species
CGGAUUAUGGGCGUAAAGCGCGCGCAGGCGGUCCUUUAAGUCUGAUGUGAAAUCCCACGGCUCAACCGUGGAGGGUCAUUGGAAACUGGGGGACUUGAGUACAGAAGAGGAAAGUGGAAUUCCACGUGUAGCGGUGAAAUGCGUAGAGAUGUGGAGGAACACCAGUGGCGAAGGCGACUUUCUGGUCUGUAACUGACGCUGAGGCGCGAAAGCGUGGGGAGCAAACAGGAUUAGAUACCCUGGUAGUCCACGCCGUAAACGAUGAGUGCUAAGUGUUAGGGGGUUUCCGCCCCUUAGUGCUGCAGCUAACGCAUUAAGCACUCCGCCUGGGGAAUACGGCCGCAAGGCUU